AAACCCAUGCGGCACUCGUACCGCAAACGGACACACGUGGUCGGGUAGAACAUACUGAGGCGUUGAGAGAUUCAUGGUUAAGGAACUAGGCAAAUUGACCCUGUAACUUCGGGAUAAAGGGUCCUCGUGAAUAGCGAGGCGCAGGGAAUAGGUCCAGGCAACUGUUUAACAAAAACACAGGGCUGUGCAAACUCGAAAGAUGACGUAUACAGCCUGACACCUGCCCGGUGCCGGAAGGUUAAGAGGAGAUGUCACUCGCAAGAGGAAGCAUUGAAUUGAAGCCCCGGUAAACGGCGGCCGUAACAAUAACGGUCCUAAGGUAGCGAAAUUCCUUGUCGGGUAAGUUCCGACCUGCACGAAUGGUGUAAUGAUCCGGACGCUGUCUCAACCAUGAGCUCAGUGAAAUUGUAGUAUCGGUGAAGAUGCCGAUUACCCGCGAUGGGACGAAAAGACCCCGUGAACCUUUACUACAGCUUAGCAUUGACCUUGGUCAUCCGAUGUGUAGGAUAGGCCGGAGGCUUCGAAGCGGGAGCGCCAGCUUUCGUGGAGCCAUCCUUGAAAUACGGCCCUUUGGCUGUCUGAGGUCUAACGCGUGAUACGCGGACACUGCUUGGUGGGUAGUUUGACUGGGGUGGUCGCCUCCAAAAGCGUAACGGAGGCUUCCAAAGGUGCCCUCGGGUCGAUUGGUAACCGACCUCAAAGAGUGCAAUGGCAUAAGGGCGCUUGACUGGGAGGCAGACAUGCCGAGCAGGCAGGAAACUGGGGCAUAGUGAUCCGGCGGAUGUGUAUGGAAACUCCGUCGCUCAAAGGAUAAAAGGUACUCCGGGGAUAACAGGCUGAUCCCCCCCAAGAGCUCAUAUCGACGGGGUGGUUUGGCACCCCGAUGUCGGCUCGUCACAUCCUGGGGCUGGAGAAGGUCCCAAGGGUUGGGCUGUUCGCCCAUUAAAGUGGCACGCGAGCUGGGUUCAGAACGUCGUGAGACAGUUCGGUCUCUAUCUAUCGUGGGCGUGGGAGUUUUGAGUGGUGCCGUCACUAGUACGAGAGGACCGUGAUGGACAGACCUCCGGUUUACCAGUUGUGCCGCCAGGCGCACCGCUGGGUAUCUGAGUCUGGAUUGGAUAAGCGCUGAAAGCAUCUAAGUGCGAAGCCAGCCGCAAGAUGAGAACUCCAUUGAGGGUCGUCAGAGACGAUGACGUCGAUAGGAUGCAGGUGUAAAGACAGCGAUGUCAAAGCCGAGCAUUACUAAUUGCCCUA
rnacentral:rRNA from 1 species